rnacentral:misc_RNA from 1 species
GAUGAAGAACGCAGCGAAAUGCGAUAAGUAGUGUGAAUUGCAGAAUUCAGUGAAUCAUCGAAUCUUUGAACGCACAUUGCGCCCCAUGGUAUUCCGUGGGGCAUGCCUGUCGAGCGUCAUUUACCCCCUCAAGCUCCGCUUGGUGUUGGGCGUCUGUCCCGCUUCGCGCGCGGACUCGCCCCAAAGGUAUUGGCAGCGGUCGUGCCAGCUUCUCGCGCAGCACAUUGCGCUUCUCGAGGCACCGGUGGGCCCGCGUCCAUCAAGCUCACCCCCCCAGUUUGACCUCGGAUCAGGUAGGGAUACCCGCUGAACUUAAGCAUAUCAAUAAGCGGAGGA